rnacentral:lncRNA from 1 species
CAGCUGGACUCAGUUUAGAUGAUCCCAAUCUGAAAAACAAAAGGGGAGCUUUGUUACUGGGAGAUAAAAUGUGAAGAUUAAGCUGGAAGGUCAUGAUUAAAAAGCAAAAAUAAGGCAAGGAAAGUGCCUAUUAAGGAUAGGGGUGCAGUCAUUUAAGACUAAAUCAGCAAGUCAGGUUUUGGUCAGUAAUGGACACAUCACUUGCACUUCGGGGGUGAGUUAACAGCAAAGGAAGCUUACUUUGUUGGCAACAUCCAAAGCAUCAUAGUCAGGAGCCAGUCGAACAUAUGCUUUCUUUUCUCCAUCGGGCCUAGGAUGAAGGAAGCUUUAGUUCCCGCUGUUCUCACAGCCCCCAAACCCUCCCUUCUUCCCCUAGUCUUUAUGGCACAUCAGUGGUUCCUUUGUCCAUGUCUUUUCCAGCAUUUGCACAGGAGGCUAGGGAUGCCACCAAGCCACAAAUGAAGUCAACUCCCUUUUACAUGGAACACCAUAUAACAUUUUAAAACUUAACUCCAAGUAAUCUGACAUAAAUUUUAUCUUACUCUAGGGCCUGUCUAGAGGUAUAGGGAUCAAGAAAAUGAACACUAACUCCAUACAUCAAGUCCUAGAGGCAGGAGAACUAAUGUGUCCUCUAAAGUCUGUAUAGAUACAAAGGACUAACUACAGCAGAAAUCACUCAUUUCUCAAGGCUUGCAAGCUGUGAAACCUACUGACUCCAUGCAGAUUUCUUGGCUCACCUGAUCAGAGUGUUGACCUUGGCCACAUCAAUGUCAUAGAGUUUCUUCACGGCCUGUUUGAUCUGGUGCUUGUUGGCCUUGACAUCCACAAUGAACACAAGAGUGUUGUUGUCUUCUAUUUUCUUCAUGGCCGACUCUGUAGUCAGGGGGAACUUGAUGAUGGCAUAGUGGUCAAGCCUGGGGAAGAGGCAAAAUGGUGUCAUCUGGCCUGGGUCCAAUAAAAGGAUUAGGUCUCUUUUAGAUCUCAAAGCCAGAAGAGCCCAGGUGCAUCAGACAAUAAAGUAGCAAUCAUUUUUGUCAGACUUUGGUCGCUAAACAGUGUCAUCAUCUGCACCCUGUAACUUAGGGACCUGGAACCUCAGCCUGGGGGACAGAACCCUGUACUCUUCUGCUUGAACGACUUUCACCCUUUAAGUGAUUAAAGAAUCAGCUCUGAGUUCCAACCCCCCCCCCAUUAUUUAUUUGACCUCAACAUUUUGGAGGGCAAACUUCUGGAAGAAAACUUGACACCUCUGAGGUUAAACAACUUACCCCUAGAGCACAAAGCUGGACUAUGGGAUCUUAAAACCCAGGCUAGAGUUCCAAAGAAUGUUGGUGCUUCAUCAGGAGAUUAGCCAGACAUUUCUGCUCCCUCUGGUUGGUGAAAACUGGUUUGAGGGCCAUCAACUGAGAGCAACCCUUAUUUACAGCCUAAGUUAAAACUACAGUGGCUUGAACACACCUACAACACAGCUUUCCCCCUGAAAUUCAGAGAAACAAGUCUCCAUUCACCUGGACACCUGCUUCCUGUUUUAAAGCUAGACAUCAGGUCUCAACCUCUCCUCACACUAACUCCUAGGUCCAAAUGGGGCAGAACCCACUCCUGCCUUUUUCUUAGGAAAGCAGUGGGAGGUGGCAAUUAUUACUGGUGUUUUAAUCUGUGGCCUUUAAGGUCAGUUAUUACCAGUAGUGUGGCAAAUACUCAAAAACUCCAACCCUCCCCUCCCCCCAACUAUUCCUUGAGUUUAACGAGUUGAGAGUAAAUGAGAAGCUUCUAUACACCGCUGCAGGCCUUCUCUGAUUAAUACAGAUUAUUAAAUAUCCUUAUCAACCUAGAAUCAUCCCACACUGUCACCAUCAAGGACUGUCCCCUACAGUAAUAGGGAACUCCAAAACAAAAGCAUGUAUCAAAGUCCUACUAUAUACUCCAAGAAAGCAGACUUUAAAACCCUGACCAUAUGCGAAGCAAUAAUUAACCUAAUAACCAGAAGUCACUGAGUUGUCUUAAACAAAGCCUUCCAAUGUUGUCAAAAUGCCUCCUCUUGUCCUUAAAUAGGGCAUUAACAAUCUCUUCACACUAUUAAGAGACGCACACUAGGUACCAACAGAUAUUUGACAAGGCGUGCUGUAGGUCUGGUAAAUUUCCAAAUUACGAAUGGAGGAUACCCAAUAUCUUUUCAUGGGAAAGGGGCAGUACUGACUUGUUUCUCCUGGGGGCGCUCUUUCGAGGAUAUUUGGGCUGUCUUCGGAGACGCAGUGUCUUGGGCCGUCGGAAUGUGGGUGACGUACGGAUCUUCUUUUUUUUAUGACUGUGGACGCCUUUCAGCACUGCUUUCUUGGCCUUCAAGGCCUUUGCUUUGGCUUCGGCUUUGGGAGGGGCAGGGGCUAAAAUAAAGAAUAUGAAGGCACGGGAUUCAGAAACCAUUCACUUCCGUCCUCAAGACCCCUAGCGGGCGCUCCAAGGCACACGUGCAUCAGCGGUUCCUUUGAAGACAUCACAAGUCUCAGGAGGUUACAAUUUUUCCAUCAUAUGCACGGUACUGGGGCGAACUUGGAAUAACUCCAGCGAUACGACGAAAAAAAAAAAAAACACCUAGCAAUGAUCGAAUGCUUGAUACUUGACAACAUAUACUCUAAUAGUUUUAACUGUUCAUGGCCCCGUCUAACACGUGGAAAAAAGGAAAAUUAGGUGCGGACAACUCAGGUCUGGAGACAUGAAACUCCGGCCUAUGGAUGCGUGUAGUUCCCCAAAGCCAACAGUCUGGCAGCCCCGACAGGUGGUGGCGGCCGGACUUGCCUCCCCAAACCCUGUCACGGAGCUCAGCCCAUGCGGCUGGGCCCACGCGCGCCGUAGAGUGGCAGAAUGCUAGAAGCAGCUCCGGAGCAGACACCCCAAGAACUAGCUCAGCCUCCAUCCUCCCAGUUUGUUCACUCUGCGGGAAUCCCAGGCCAACUAGCUGCGGUACCCCCAGCCCCAGCACAGACCUUCCUUCUUCGCCUUCGGCGCCAUCUUCGUGAAAAGGAU